UACGGAGGGUGCAAGCGUUAUUCGGAAUCAUUGGGCGUAAAGGGCGCGUAGGCGGUCUUUUAAGUCAGAUGUGAAAGCCCUCGGCUUAACCGAGGAAGUGCAUUUGAUACUAAGAGACUUGAGUAUGGGAGAGGGAAGCGGAAUUCCUGGUGUAGCGGUGAAAUGCGUAGAUAUCAGGAGGAACACCGGUGGCGAAGGCGGCUUCCUGGACCAAUACUGACGCUGAGGCGAGAAGGCGUGGGGAGCAAACAGG
rnacentral:rRNA from 1 species